GCACAUUUGAUUAUAUCCAUACCUGCCCCAUUUAAGCUGUUCAUGGAUUUACCAUCAUGUUUAGGAUAAAGCUCAAAUUCUUACCUAGCAUGUCAAAUUCUUGAUGAUCUUGCACUUGCAGACCUCUCCAGGUCUUCUCUCCCAAUGUCCCUUCCUACUUCCACUUCAUGCAGAUCCACUUCUAAUUACCUGAACACAUUAUUCUCCCUUUCUUUCUUUGGUUCCCUCUACCUGUAAUAUUUCCCCAGCCUAGCUAACUCCAUCCUAUGAGACACCUGCAAUGCAUUCUUUUCCAGACAAAAAUUGGGUACAGUAGUUCAGCCAGGUGUCCUAUUUUAUGCUAGGAAUAUAGUAUCACUCUCUGAAACUCAGAGUUGCUGUAUCAAUCAAACCCGCUGGCUAAUUAUUUCCAGGGAUGACAGCCAAAUGUCAGCACUAUUUAUCUCAGUGUACUGAAAUAGAAACUUGUCUUUAGUGGACGUGAGUGCCUUUAGUGAGAAAUACUGAAUGCCUUCACAAUCUGGAUCAAUUCAUUCAACUCCCGGGCAUGGGUGUUAGAGGCAGCCGGCUCAUCUUUGAUAGAAAGGCAGGAUCAUGUAAAGCCCCAUAGGAGGCUGGAGUCCCACUGACGUUCUUUAAGUUUUGGGCAGUGAAAUAGAAAAAGUUUCUCUUAAAAAUUCCCAGACCUAGAUGAUUUCUCCUCUGCUACACGAUGCAGAACUCUGAGGUUUCAUGAAAGUAUCUGAGCAAAUUCAAAAAUCAUUUAAAGGACUCCAUCCAUAGGCAGCUCUGAGCUUUACUUUCAUAGAGAAGUGUCUGAAAUCUCAGUUUGGGGAACAAAAUAAGGCACAGUGUUAAACUUUAACAUUUGAAUUUUAACUCUUAGGUAGCAAAUUGAUUCCCAAAUUCUUACUGUGGGACUUUUAUUUGUUAUCACACAAAUUGAAUACAUCCUACAGUGAGUUCCCCGCAGGAAGUAUAGCCAAAACAUUUCUAAGUGAGAGAACAGCUUACCUAUCCUUUGCUCUCAAGAUCUUGACUCUAUGGUAUCUUCAGAAUGGAAAUUUUUGUUAUUUGAAUUCUCAGUAUCUGUCUGCAACUGUUAAAGGGUGAGAUAGAGUGGUAGCUAUUGUUCCUACUGAACCAUUUAAGGGUUUUCUCUUCCCCUGCUCUCUUCUCUCUUCUAUUCCAAUAAGCCUCUUCUCUGCUGUAUUAUGUUUUGCAUUCUGAAAAAUGGGUGUCUGUGUCCUGGGACGUUGAAAGGGGAAUUUUCCUGCGUUUUGGAAUAGAAAUGGUAACCAAAAGAAAAUCCCCUCACAUAUCUAUAUACAUAUCCUAUUGGUUCUGUCUCUCUGAAGAAUCCUAACUAAUACAGAUUUGGUAUUGGGAAAGGCAAAUGUCACUCUUUCUUACUGUACUCUUUAUAACAUAAUGGGAGAGACCUGUGAAAUUGUUCCUUUGCAAAAAGACCUUAUCUCCAAGGCCAGUGAGGCACUGAACAGGCCCAUACCAGCUCAGGAGAGCUAAUUUGUUCAUCCCUUACCAACUUUGUGUUCAGUGACUGAUUUCAUGUUGGUAGCUUAACCAUUAAGAAUCUGGAGUCAGCAUCUUCCAAUUUUAUAGAUUAUGAAUUGACUUCUCGAUAUGAAAUAUGAAGGAAUAAUAUUUUAAAAAUUUUCUUCCACUUCCUUACCACAAUCUACUGAUUAUUUUUACUUAUAGUUUUACAUUGUUAGUUUAGAACAUUUACAUUUCUG
rnacentral:lncRNA from 1 species